CUCGGACCGCGAACCCAGGUCAGGCAGGACCACCCGCC
rnacentral:rRNA from 1 species